CCGUACUUCUUUCCGCUCCGUACUCGAAUUAAUAUCGUAUGGAAUGUAGAGAAGUAUGUUG
rnacentral:pre_miRNA from 1 species